rnacentral:misc_RNA from 1 species
GAUGAAGAACGUAGCGAAAUGCGAUAAGUAAUGUGAAUUGCAGAAUUCAGUGAAUCAUCGAAUCUUUGAACGCACCUUGCACCCUUUGGCAUUCCGAAGGGUAUGCUCGUUUGAGUGUCAUUGUACUCUCACUCUCCCGAUGCUUUUGGAUCGGGAGUGGUGGACUUGGGUGUUGCUGCUUUGCUGUGGCUCGCCUCAAAUGGAGUAGUGCAACUCUUGGUUGGACAUAGUACGGCGUGAUAAGUGUCUUCGCCGGCGCCUCAUUAUAGAGGGUGGCCGAUCGGGAGCUCUGUGCUUCAAACCGUCUUCGGACAACAUCUGACAACUUUACCUCAAAUCGAGUAGGACUACCCGCUGAACUUAAGCAUAUCAAUAAGCGGAGGA